rnacentral:lncRNA from 1 species
UGUAGUUGUGUUGUUGUGGGGUGUGGUGUUGCUGGGGCGUAGUUGGGUUGUUGUGGGGCGUAGUUGGGUUGUUGUGGGGUGUGGUUGUGUUGUUGUGGGGUGGGGUUGUGUUGUUGUGGGGUGCGGUUGUGUUGUUGUGGCGUGGUUGUGUUGUUGUGGGGUGUGGUUGUGUUGUUGGGGUGUGGUUGUGUUGUUGUGG